rnacentral:lncRNA from 1 species
CAGGAAACAAAGCCUAUUUCUUGCUUCACUCUAAUCUAACCUCAUAAGUUCCUCAUACCAAAUGCUUCAUUUACAUUGAACAUCAAUCUGUGUUACAUGAAGUCAUCCUGACAGACUAGCUGCUGUCACUCCCUCUCAGUAGCUGAAGGGGAGUGGUCAACAAACUAUAAACCUCAAUUACAGGCCGAUGAUAACAAAAGAAAGGAAACACUUUCAGUCACAGAAGUGAGAAGAAAGAACGCUGCUCAUCAUGGAAAGAAAACUCCUUUGUUGGAUAUUUUUGCUUGGAUAUUUCCAUGCAUCCUCUGGACAAACUACAGCAGUGACAACUGUGGCACCAACUACCACAUCUUCACCAUCAACAACUACGGCACAAACUAUCACACCUGCAGCAACGUCAAGUGAGGCACCAACUACCACACCUGCACCAUCGACAACUACCACAGCAACGACAACUGCAGCACCAGCUACCACAACGACAACUGCGGCACCAGCUACCACAGCAACGACAACUGCGGCUACCACAGCAACGACAGCUGCGGCUACCACAGCAACGACAACUGAGAAUACCACAGCAACGACAGCUGCGGCUACCACAGCAACGACAACUGAGAAUACCACAGCAACGACAGCUGCGGCUACCACAGCAACGACAACUGCGGCACCAGCUACCACACCUUCACCAACGACAGCUGCGACACCAACUACCACAUUUUCACCAGCGACAACUGUGGUACCAGCUACCACUACACUUACAACAGAGCCAUCUACAACUCCUUCAGAUGAAGGCUUUCUGGCCAUGGGACAUAUACAGAUGAAGUUAACUUCCUAUGGAGAAGUCAGCAAUGGAACCAUCACUGAGCUUAUUAAGCAGACUUUCAGAAAUCAGUUUCUGAAUGGAACAGCACACACACUCCGUGUGACAAACAUCCAAAAGGUCAGAGUUGGCCCAUAGAAGAGGAAGUUCCCGCUGUGAAGUUAUUAACACACCAAUUGUAUGUGUGCUGGGGGGUUUGUGUGGUGCAGGUGACUUAAUUUGUUUGAUCAUGUCAGGUAAGAUUUUACCAGUUUCACAGAAACUUGAUGUAUUGUUUAGAAGAAGACGUAUCUGCUGUGUUGGCUUCUGUCUGUCUAUGUAAAGCUUAUUUUUAACCAUUAACAGCACUACUGCCUGUCAAAUGUUAUGAGAAUUUUAUCUAAUAAAUUAAAGCACCACACUGCUGGCUGCA